UCAUCAUCUUUAUCAUUCGGUAUUCAUCAUCUUCCAAAAUCCUUCUUAACAAUCAACUUCGAAAAUCCUUCUGAAUGUAGUUCCAAUAAUUACUUUUGGCAUAUUGCAAAAGUCUUGAAGGUUUGAUAAUGGAAGAGGGUUCAAGCAGCAAGUUCAAGAAGAUUUGUGUGUUCUGUGGAAGUCAUUUUAGUCAUCGAGAAGUCUUCAGUGUUGCUGCUACUCAAUUGGGAGAUGAAUUGGUUAAUAGGAAGAUAAGUUUGGUGUAUGGUGGUGGAAGUAUUGGUCUAACGGGAAUGAUAGCUCAGAGAGUUUUCGAUGGAGGUUGCCGAGUUCUUGGG